GGUUACAACAUCUCUGGACCCCGUCUCCAUGGAGACAUGGAUGCACGGUACCAACCGGACCCAGACCCACUCAGACUGCUGGUUGAUGCACGGUACCAACCGGACCCAGACCCACUCAGACUGCUGGCUGAUGCACGGUACCAACCGGACCCAGACCCACUCAGACUGCUGGCUGAUGCACGGUACCAACCGGACCCAGACCCACUCAGACUGCUGGUUGAUGCACGGUACCAACCGGACCCAGACCCACUCAGACUGCUGGCUGAUGCACGGUACCAACCGGACCCAGACCCACUCAGACUGCUGGUUGAUGCACGGUACCAACCGGACCCAGACCCACUCAGACUGCUGGCUGAUGCACGGUACCAACCAGACCCAGACCCACUCAGACUGCUGGCUGAUGCACGGUACCAACCGGACCCAGACCCACUCAGACUGCUGGCUGAUGCACGGUACCAACCGGACCCAGACCCACUCAGACUGCUGGCUGAUGCACGGUACCAACCAGACCCAGACCCACUCAGACUGCUGGCUGAUGCACGGUACCAACCGGACCCAGACCCACUCAGACUGCUGGCUGAUGCACGGUACCAACCGGACCCAGACCCACUCAGACUGCUGGUUGAUGCACGGUACCAACCGGACCCAGACCCACUCAGACUGCUGGCUGAUGCACGGUACCAACCGGACCCAGACCCACUCAGACUGCUGGUUGAUGCACGGUACCAACCGGACCCAGACCCACUCAGACUGCUGGUUGAUGCACGGUACCAACCGGACCCAGACCCACUCAGACUGCUGGUUGAUGCACGGUACCAACCGGACCCAGACCCACUCAGACUGCUGGCUGAUGCACGGUACCAACCGGACCCAGACCCACUCAGACUGCUGGUUGAUGCACGGUACCAACCGGACCCAGACCCACUCAGACUGCUGGCUGAUGCACGGUACCAACCAGACCCAGACCCACUCAGACUGCUGGUAAUGCACGGUACCAACCGGACCCAGACCCACUCAGACUGCUGGUUGAUGCACGGUACCAACCGGACCCAGACCCACUCAGACUGCUGGUUGAUGCACGGUACCAACCGGACCCAGACCCACUCAGACUGCUGGCUGAUGCACGGUACCAACCGGACCCAGACCCACUCAGACUGCUGGCUGAUGCACGGUACCAACCGGACCCAGACCCACUCAGACUGCUGGUUGAUGCACGGUACCAACCGGACCAGACCCACUCAGACUGCUGGCUGAUGCACGGUACCAACCGGACCCAGACCCACUCAGACUGCUGGUUGAUGCACGGUACCAACCGGACCCAGACCCACUCAGACUGCUGGUUGAUGCACGGUACCAACCGGACCCAGACCCACUCAGACUGCUGGCUGAUGCACGGUACCAACCGGACCCAGACCCGCUCAGACUGCUGGUUGAUGCACGGUACCAACCAGACCCAGACCCACUCAGACUGCUGGUUGAUGCACGGUACCAACCGGACCCAGACCCACUCAGACUGCUGGUUGAUGCACGGGUACCAACCGGACCCAGACCCGCUCAGACUGCUGGUUGAUGCACGGUACCAACCGGACCCAGACCCACUCAGACUGCUGGUUGAUGCACGGUACCAACCGGACCCAGACCCACUCAGACUGCUGGUUGAUGCACGGGUACCAACCGGACCCAGACCCACUCAGACUGCUGGUUGAUGCACGGUACCAACCGGACCCAGACCCACUCAGACUGCUGGUUGAUGCACGGUACCAACCGGACCCAGACCCACUCAGACUGCUGGUUGAUGCACGGUACCAACCGGACCCAGACCCACUCAGACUGCUGGUUGAUGCACGGUACCAACCGGACCCAGACCCGCUCAGACUGCUGGUUGAUGCACGGUACCAACCGGACCCAGACCCGCUCAGACUGCUGGUUGAUGCACGGUACCAACCGGACCCAGACCCACUCAGACUGCUGGUUGAUGCACGGUACCAACCGGACCCAGACCCACUCAGACUGCUGGCUGAUGCACGGUACCAACCGGACCCAGACCCACUCAGACUGCUGGCUGAUGCACGGUACCAACCGGACCCAGACCCACUCAGACUGCUGGUUGAUGCACGGUACCAACCGGACCCAGACCCACUCACACUGCUGGUUGAUGCACGGUACCAACCGGACCCAGACCCACUCAGACUGCUGGCUGAUGCACGGUACCAACCAGACCCAGACCCACUCAGACUGCUGGUUGAUGCACGGUACCAACCGGACCCAGACCCACUCAGACUGCUGGUUGAUGCACGGUACCAACCGGACCCAGACCCACUCAGACUGCUGGUUGAUGCACGGUACCAACCGGACCCAGACCCACUCAGACUGCUGGCUGAUGCACGGUACCAACCGGACCCAGACCCACUCAGACUGCUGGUUGAUGCACGGUACCAACCGGACCCAGACCCACUCACACUGCUGGUUGAUGCACGGUACCAACCGGACCCAGACCCACUCAGACUGCUGGUUGAUGCACGGUACCAACCGGACCCAGACCCACUCAGACUGCUGGUUGAUCCACGGUACCAACCGGACCCAGACCCACUCAGACUGCUGGUUGAUGCACGGUACCAACCGGACCCAGACCCCCUGGUUUGGGGUGAAUCGGAUUGAACUGCAGCGGUUUGGGUCUUUGAUGGAUAGGAUUGUGUAGAAUAAUGGAUUUCUUUCUCCCAGCUCUGGUGUCCGUUCACCAGCAGCUGUGGAUCAAACAGAACUCUGCCUCCUCCAGGUGGAGCCAGUGGGCUGGAAGCCAUUGUUGGUGCAGAUUCAGGCUUUAGUCCGACACGUUCUUCUUGGCUUGUUAGCGUCUCCGUAUCGUUUAUGGGAUGAAAACCCUCUAGUUUAAUCAGACACCGCUUCCCUUCUUUAUUCUUUCUACCAACAUCCUGCUGAGGAGCAAAGAAGCAAAGCCUCCUUUUUCUAGCCGCCGUCGUCGUGCCUGCAGGCGUCCACAGCGGCUCCGCUCUAACUGAAGGCUGCCUCCUGCAUGGCCUCCUACUCCUCUCAUCUCCUCCUGGCUGUAAUCUGGAGCAGGGAUGCUUCAGUAGCAGAGGUGAUAGUUUCUGCUCAAAGUUUCUGCAUGUUUCACUAAUCUUUGGUUGGAUUGACAUGAAGGUCUGUUGGAGGAUUCUCAUUACUGAGGGAUGCGGCGACCCAGGAACGGAGUGAAGCGUUAGAAAUCGAUUAUUCUGGGAUGUAAGCGUUGCUCUCUGUUCCUGGGUCGGACUUUUCCUCUCCAGCUUUGCUUCUUCGCUUCUAGAUCCCGUAGAUUAGUAGAUUAAAGGUUAGAUCUCCAGCUGAGAGACGCUGUAUUAGUUCAUCUGAGACGCAACACAGAAAUGAUUGAAACAAUAAUCCGACGGCAGCAGUUCUACGUUAUGCAGACGCUCCAUCUUCGCCAGUGAACAUUUAUACACACAUCCUGAUCAGGGAUCACUACUGAGCUUUCAGCGCUCUGCUGGGUCCAGUUGGGUCAGUACCAUCAGAACCUGCAGCGUUUAGCGGUUUCCUAACAGAUUUGGUGUCUUAGUCGUGUGUUGGGGGGUGAGGCCAUCCAUAGCAUCAUCUGUGGCGCUGCAGCCCGUAAGGAAAGGUAUUUUUGGGAUGUUUUCCGCCGUCUAACGGUGUGCCGGGCGGUUCUGAUCCGGUCUGGGCCUCAGUCGGCUUGGGACCGUUACAGCAGCCGUCCGUCACACUGCGACGCCUCCGGCCUCAGAUUCCUGCAGAGGUUUAGAUCUUUGUUUUGAUUUUUUCUCUCAGUUUUAUUGGUUGUUUGAUCCCGAGUCGGACCAGAUGCUCCGAGUCGCGGCCCCCCCAGGCCCCCCCCUUUAGACGGCUCUGCUUGAUGGCUCUGCAUAUAUAAACCCCCUCCUGACCGCGUGUCGGCAUGAACAGACUCUAAGGACUGCAUGACUACCACCCCCCCACCCUCCCCCAGGACGACGUUACAAGUCACUUCUGAUUCCCAUAUUUCUGCGCUGUAACCGGGGGUUACGCCCCUGAUGUGCGGCGUGGGGGGGGCGAUGCAGUGGGAGGAGCUAUGGUCACUGUGGAAAGGGCUACUUUAGACUAGAGCAGUUUUAAUAAUGGUUACUGUUCUGUUUGCAUGUUAAACCUGUUCAACCUUUUUAACAUCCGCUCCAGUUUUUUGGACGGUUUCCGGGUUUUGAAUGUCUCUCCAUGGCAUGUGCGUUUCUCCAUCAGCAGCGUCUCUUUCAGAUUUCCAUAUUUACUAUUCUAAUACUUUAUGAAGUCAUUACUGGAGCUGAGUAUGUUUUCCUAUGCAAAAUAUACCAUUAAUAAACAAGCUGUACUGACA